UNGCGACUGACUGCCUCACUCCCUACCU
rnacentral:piRNA from 1 species